rnacentral:rRNA from 1 species
UACGGAGGGGCUAGCGCUGUUCGGAAUUACUGGGCGUAAAGCGCACGUAGGCGGCUUUGUAAGUUAGAGGUGAAAGCCCGGAGCUCAACUCCGGAACUGCCUUUAAGACUGCAUCGCUUGAACGUCGGAGAGGUAAGUGGAAUUCCGAGUGUAGAGGUGAAAUUCGUAGAUAUUCGGAAGAACACCAGUGGCGAAGGCGACUUACUGGACGACUGUUGACGCUGAGGUGCGAAAGCGUGGGGAGCAAACAGG